ensembl:lncRNA
UGAUUUAUGUAGUUCAUUGGAACAGGAAGAAAUGGAUUUAUCUGUGGAUCAUGUUGAGGAAGUACAAAAUGUCCUUAAUGCUAUGCAGAAAAUCUUAGAGUGUCCAAUAUGUCUGGAGUUGAUCAGAGAGCCUGUCUCUACAAAGUGUGACCACAUAUUUUGCAAAUUUUGUAUGCUGAAACUUCUCAACCAGAAGAAAGGGCCUUCACAAUGUCCUUUGUGUAAGAAUGAUAUAACCAAAAGAAGCCUACAAGAAAGUACAAGAUUUAGUCAACUUGUUGAAGAGCUGUUGAAGAUCAUUCAUGCUUUUGAGCUUGACACAGGAUUGCAGUUUGCAAACAGCUAUAACUUUUCGAGAAAGGAAAAUAAGUCUCCUGAGCAUCUGAAGGAGGAAGUUUCUAUCAUCCAAAGUAUGGGCUACCGGAACCGGGCCAAAAGACUUUGGCAGAGUGAACCUGAAAAUCCUACCUUGCAGGAAACUGGUCUUACUGUCGAACUCUCUAACCUUGGAAUUGUGAGAUCUCUGAGGACAAAGCAGCAGAUACAAUCUCAGAAUAAGUCCGUCUACAUUGAAUUGGGAUCUGAUUCUUCUGAAGACACAGUUAAUAAGGCCAGUUACUUCAGUGUGGGAGAACAUGAAUUGUUAGAGAUCACCCCUCAAGGAGCCAAGGCAGAGACCAAUUUGAAUCCUGCAAAAAAGGGUGAAGCAGCAUCCAACCAUGUGAGUGAAACAAGCCUCUCUGAAGACUCUGUGGGGCUGUCUUCUCAGAGUGAUAUCUUAACCACUCAGCAGAGGGAUACCAUGCAAGAUAACCUACUAAAGCUCCAGCAGGAAAUGGCCGAGCUGGAAGCUGUGUUAGAGCGGCACGGGAGCCAGCCUUCCCACAGCUCUGCUUCCCUCACAGCUGAUUCUCGUGGCCCAGAGCACCUGCUAAAUCCAGAGCAAAACACAUCAGAAAGAGCAAUAUUAACUUCAGAGAAAAGUAGAGACUAUUCUAGAAGCCAGAAUCCUGAAAGCCUCUCUGCUGACAAGUUUCCAGUAUCUCUGGAUAGUUCUACCAAUAAAAAUAAAGAACCAGGAAUGGAAGGGUCUUCCCCUUCUAAAUUCCAGUUGUCGGAUAAUAGGUGGUAUGUGCACAGCCACUCAAGGAGUCUUCAGGACAGAAACUGCCCAUCUCAAAAGGUGCCCAUUAAUGUUGCUGACAUGGAGGAGCAACAGCUGGCUAAGUAUGAGGCCCAAGAUUUAAUGGGGUCUUAUUUGCCAAGACAAGAUCAAGAAGGAACCCCUUACCUGAAAUCUGGAAUCAGCCUCUUCUCUCAUGACCUCGAGUCUGAUCCCUCUGAAGACAGAGCCCCAGAGCCAGCUCAUGUUCACUGCAUGCCACCCUCUGCCUCUGCCUCUGCACCGAAAUUAUCCCAAUUUCGAGUAGAAGAAUCUACCAAGAAUCCAGCUGCUGCUCACAUUACUAAUACUACAGGGUGUAACCUGAGGGAAGAAAGUGUGAGCAAAGAGAAGCCAGAAGUGAUAUCUUCAACAGAAAGAAGCAACAAAAGACUUUCUAUGGUGGCAUCAGGCUUGACCCCAAAAGAACUCAUGCUUGUGCAGAAAUUUGCCAGAAAACAUCACAUCACUUUAACUAAUCUAAUUACUGAAGAGACUACUCAUGUCAUUAUGAAAACAGAUCCUGAGUUUGUGUGUGAACGGACACUGAAAUAUUUUCUGGGAAUUGCAGGAGGAAAAUGGGUAGUUAGCUAUUUUUGGGUCACCCAGUCUAUUAAAGAAAGAAAGAUGCUGGAUGAGCAUGAUUUUGAAGUCAGAGGAGAUGUUGUCAAUGGAAGAAACCAUCAAGGCCCAAAGCGAGCAAGAGAAUCCCAAGACAAGAAGAUCUUCAAAGGCCUAGAGAUCUGUUGCUAUGGACCUUUUACCAAUAUGCCCACAGAUCAACUAGAGUGGAUGGUGCAGCUGUGUGGGGCUUCUGUGGUGAAGGAGCCCUCGUCAUUCACCCCAGGCCAGGGUACUCACCCAGUUGUGGUCGUGCAGCCGGAUGCCUGGACAGAGGAUGCUGGCUUCCGUGUGAUCGGGCAGAUGUGUGAAGCACCUGUGGUAACCCGAGAGUGGGUACUGGACAGUGUGGCCCUCUACCAUUGCCAGGAGCUGGACACCUACCUGGUCCCCCAGGUCGCCCAGAGCUGCUGCUGA